rnacentral:lncRNA from 12 species
AUGGGAUCAAACCCGGGAUUUGUCUGGCUCCGAAACCCCUAUGCCUUCCACAACAAUACAGCGCGGAAGACGAAGGGAUUCUGGGCCUCAGCUCACAGUUCUGGGCUUCUCUCUGGACAUCCACUGUGGAAGACAGCAUCUAACGAGUUCGGUGCAGCAGGCCAGGAAGAUGCAGAAAACGUCAUCCAGCGAGUGGUACUUCCAGAUGGCCAGGUGACAACGGAGCCCUACCAAACAAGUCCCAGGAAAAUGUACAAACUCCACAUGAAGUUUUAUAGGCUUCUGAGGAAGUGGUUAAAAACAGACACACACGUCUCCUGCAAGGUGGCUUCCGUAUCUCCAGAGCGUGGUGGGAAGAGAGAAUGA